rnacentral:rRNA from 1 species
UCGAGAAUCUUCCGCAAUGGGGGCAACCCUGACGGAGCGACGCCGCGUGCGGGAUGAAGGCCUUCGGGUUGUAAACCGCUGUCACAGGUUAAGAAAGGUUUGCACGGUAAUAUCGUGUAGGCUUGACAAAGGCCUGAGAGGAAGCCACGGCUAACUUCGUGCCAGCAGCCGCGGUAAGACGAAGGUGGCAACCGUUGUUCGGAAUCACUGGGCAUAAAGAGCACGUAGGCGGGAAUGUCAGUCGGGUGUGAAAUCCCUCGGCCCAACCGAGGAACUGCGCCCGAUACUUCAUUUCUUGAGGACAGGAGGGGAGCGCGGAAUUCCUGGUGGAGCGGUGAAAUGCGUUGAUAUCAGGAGGAACACCGGCGGCGAAGGCGGCGCUCUGGCCUGUUUCUGACGCUGAGGUGCGAAAGCCAGGGGAGCAAACGGGAUUAGAUACCCCUGUAGUCC